rnacentral:lncRNA from 1 species
CUCGACAAUUCCACAUAAGAAGACUCAUGACCUCCUAUUGUGCCUUUUACAACCAACCUUCUCCUCCAGUAAACUAGCAUAGAUACUAAGUGUGUUCUUGUCAAUCACCUCUUCUCUUAUCCCGUUAGAGCAACCCAUGGCAAGGAUUAAGCUACAGAAACCAAUGAAGUUUGGACUUGAAGUCCUUGGAGAGAUUCUCAACCUUAAGUGAUUCAUCAGUAAUUGGAACCUUACAAUUGUAAGAACUCAGAACUCAUGAGUAGACGAAGAAAAGGUUGAAUUUUUAUAGAAAAACGACUUAGAUUUGAUGAAUUAUCACCCACAAAGUUCCUUUGAAGUAGGCAAAACUCACCAAAGCCACCAAGCGUGCUUUCCUAGCGCCAUUCAAAAAAAACAACCCUCUGAAAUAACCUGAAACAGCUCUGAAUUCUGAACUUGAAA